AGUGAACGCUGGCGGUAGGCCUAACACAUGCAAGUCGAACGGCAGCACAGUAAGAGCUUGCUCUUACGGGUGGCGAGUGGCGGACGGGUGAGGAAUACAUCGGAAUCUACUUUUUCGUGGGGGAUAACGUAGGGAAACUUACGCUAAUACCGCAUACGACCUACGGGUGAAAGCAGGGGAUCUUCGGACCUUGCGCGAUUGAAUGAGCCGCUGUCGGAUUAGCUAGUUGGCGGGGUAAAGGCCCACCCAGGCGACGAUACGUAGCUGGUCUGAGAGGAUGAUCAGCCACACUGGAACUGAGCCACGGUCCAGACUCCUAAGGGAGGCAGCAGUGGGGAAUAUUGGACAAUGGGCGCAAGCCUGAUCCAGCCAUACCGCGUGGGUGAAGAAGGCCUUCGGGUUGUAAAGCCCUUUUGUUGGGAAAGAAAAGCAGCAGGUUAAGACCCCGCUGUUCUGACGGUACCCAAAGAAUAAGCACCGGCUAACUUCGUG
rnacentral:rRNA from 1 species